rnacentral:rRNA from 1 species
UACGAAGGGGGCUAGCGUUGUUCGGAAUUACUGGGCGUAAAGCGCACGUAGGCGGCUCUUUAAGUCGGGGGUGAAAUCCUGGAGCUCAACUCCAGAACUGCCUUCGAUACUGUAGAGCUUGAGUUCGGGAGAGGUGAGUGGAACUGCGAGUGUAGAGGUGAAAUUCGUAGAUAUUCGCAAGAACACCAGUGGCGAAGGCGGCUCACUGGCCCGAUACUGACGCUGAGGUGCGAAAGCGUGGGGAGCAAACAGG